rnacentral:rRNA from 1 species
GUGGGGAAUAUUGGACAAUGGGCGCAAGCCUGAUCCAGCCAUGCCGCGUGAGUGAUGAAGGCCUUAGGGUUGUAAAGCUCUUUCAGUGGGGACGAUAAUGACGGUACCCACAGAAGAAGCCCCGGCUAACUUCGUGCCAGCAGCCGCGGUAAUACGAAGGGGGCUAGCGUUGUUCGGAUUUACUGGGCGUAAAGCGCACGUAGGCGGAUCGUUAAGUCGGUGGUGAAAUCCUGGAGCUCAACUCCAGAACUGCCUUCGAUACUGGCGAUCUUGAGUCCGGAAGAGGUGAGUGGAACUCCUAGUGUAGAGGUGGAAUUCGUAGAUAUUAGGAAGAACACCAGUGGCGAAGGCGGCUCACUGGUCCGGUACUGACGCUGAGGUGCGAAAGCGUGGGGAGCAAACAGGAUUAGAAACCCUGGUAGUCC